UACGUAGGGUGCAAGCGUUAAUCGGAAUUACUGGGCGUAAAGCGUGCGCAGGCGGUUUUGUAAGACAGAGGUGAAAUCCCCGGGCUCAACCUGGGAACUGCCUUUGUGACUGCAAGGCUUGAGUGCGGCAGAGGGGGAUGGAAUUCCGCGUGUAGCAGUGAAAUGCGUAGAUAUGCGGAGGAACACCGAUGGCGAAGGCAAUCCCCUGGGCCUGCACUGACGCUCAUGCACGAAAGCGUGGGGAGCAAACAGGAUUAGAUACCCUGGUAGUCCACGCCCUAAACGAUGUCAACUGGUUGUUGGGAAGGUUCCUUCUCAGUAACGUAGCUAACGCGUGAAGUUGACCGCCUGGGGAGUACGGCCGCAAGGUUGAA
rnacentral:rRNA from 1 species